rnacentral:lncRNA from 1 species
CGCGCCCCGCGCCGCUCUCCCGGCUACGGCGAGCGGCGAGCGGCACAAAGAGCCGGCGCAGGCGGGGGGCGAAGCUCCCCCUGCCCUUCCCCGCACAGCCGGGCCAGCAAAGGUUCAACGAUCUUUCAGAAUCUGAAGUGGAGGAAUCUGAGGACCACACACCUAUAGUUGAAUCCCCACCAUCACUGGAUACCUUACCUGGUGUGGAAGCACCAGCAUCUGCAGCCCAGCCAUCUAUAGUGGAAUUGCCACUGCAGACCAGCUGGCUGUCAAGGAGCCACCACGUUCUGAUCACUUCCUGCUCAUUGUAUAGUCUGCAUCCAGGGAAAGCUCACCUGAGAUCAGAUCACCUGUGGGUGAACUUCGAGGUUUCAAAGUCAAGAUGCACACCUCCGAAUCCAAACAGGAUGGCAGUAACACCGUUGAGAAUGUGUUGUCAGCAACAGAGAUUACAUUUGAAUCAUUGGAGAAUCCAGAGAUUUUUGGAGACCCCUAUCAAGUCGCCAUGAAUUAUGCAGAGGAACAUAAAAUUCUACAGAUAUUUCAGGUGAAAUACAUAUUUCUUGUCUCCUUCCAGAGGCUUACAUGAGAAGCUUGGUCUAAAAUUAGCUUGAACCAAAUUAUCCCUCCCCC